CAGGUGUAGAAGCAUAUAUAAAACUUAAUCAGUGUAGCGUUUUGGAAGAAAAUGUUGAAGCGGUGACAGCAGGAUAAAGCCCUGGCUCACUGCUGGCCUGUUGUCUCAAGUGAGAAGUUGUGGGUUUAUGUCCCAUUCCAGCCCUGGCAUUUCAUUGCAACACAGAGAGAAAGCUGCACUUUUGGGCGCUCAGUUCUUCAGAUGAGACAUUAAACGAAUAUGACUGUUAACUUAAUUACAAGAGGUAAAGGACUUUAACUUGCCCGAAUGGUUGCAGAUAACUUCAAAAAGCCGACCUAGUCACUGGUCCAUUGCAAACUUCCCAGGGGCAAAGGUUUGUCUGUUCAAUCACUCUCUAUGCUGUUGGGCAAUCAAUGUCUGCUCUCAGUCAUUGAAACUGGAGGAUACCAUAUUCUAACUGAUGUGUAACAUAUGGCAACAAUUUAAAAUUGAUGCAAUUGAGUGCUUUACUCUUAAAAAGGGCAAUCAGCUGAUCAGGCAUUAUAGAAUCAAAUAAGUCAAUGCGCCCAUUUUGGAUUUUGAGUAUAUAUUCUCAGAAUGCAUUUUCACGCUUGGGAGCAGCCAAGCAAGUUUUAUUCAUACAGCUUCUUACACUAAUGAGAAGGUUAGCAGGUAAAAUGAACUUGAUACAAAACAGAGGAAGAUGACUGAAGUAAAAUCAGUGGAACAACUGAACUCUGGCACGAUAAUGGAAAACUGAAAAAUAGUUUCAAAAUAUGCCAAAGCACAGGAAUAAAAUAUCAAUCAAAUGGAAUGAUUAAAACCUUGUAACAACUCCUUUUUUUUAAAAAAAAGUAUUUAAUACUACAUACACGCACACAAUUCUUUAUCUGAAAUUCUGAAAUCCGAAAAGCUCUGAAAUCCGAAGUUAUUUCGUGCAGUUUUUUUCUGCAUAACAAGAUUGUUUGGCAUGCGAACAGAUGAUCCAACUCCACACCCACUCAAACCACAUCACUCAGAUGUGACGUGGUGGUGUGGCCCAGCACUGACAGGCAUCAAUUGUGUCUCAGAGCUUGUACUAGUCACGCGUGGAUCUGAUGUUCGGUAACUGUGCAAAUGUCAUUAUUCUGAAAUCUGAAAAAUUCCAAAAUCUGAAAAACAAUUAGCCCCAAGAUGUCAGAUAAAGGAUUGUGUACCUGUACCCCAAAACUGUGAGAUGAAAUUAACAGCGUGUUGUU